CAGCCGCCGCGGUAAAACGGAGGGUGCAAGCGUUAUCCGGAUUCACUGGGUUUAAAGGGUGCGUAGGCGGAUCUGUAAGUCAGUGGUGAAAUCUCCAGGCUUAACCUGGAAACUGCCGUUGAUACUAUAGGUCUUGAAUUUUGUGGAGGUUAGCGGAAUAUGUCAUGUAGCGGUGAAAUGCAUAGAUAUGACAUAGAACACCAAUUGCGAAGGCAGCUGGCUACACAACUAUUGACGCUGAGGCACGAAAGCGUGGGGAUCAAACAGGAUUAGAUACCCGCGUAGUCCCUGUCUCUUAUAA
rnacentral:rRNA from 1 species